rnacentral:rRNA from 1 species
GACGAACGCUGGCGGCGUGCCUAAUACAUGCAAGUCGAACGCUUCUUUCCUCCCGAGUGCUUGCCCUCAAUUGGAAAGAGGAGUGGCGGACGGGUGAGUAACACGUGGGUAACCUACCCAUCAGAGGGGGAUAACACUUGGAAACAGGUGCUAAUACCGCAUAACAGUUUAUGCCGCAUGGCAUAAGAGUGAAAGGCGCUUUCGGGUGUCGCUGAUGGAUGGACCCGCGGUGCAUUAGCUAGUUGGUGAGGUAACGGCUCACCAAGGCCACGAUGCAUAGGCCAACUGAGAGGGGGAUUGGGCACACCGGGAACGAGAACACGGCCAGACCUCCAACGGAGGCAGGAGGAGGGAAAUCUUCGGAAUGGGACAAAGUUCGAACGGGGCAACGCGCGGGAGGGAAGAAGGUUUUUGGAUUGGAAAACUCUGGUUGUAGGGAAGAACAAAGACGGUAGUAAACGGAACGUCCCCGAAGGUAACCAAACCGAAAGCCAAGGCCAAACUACGG